UAUAUAUAAACCGGGAGCUUGAUAACAGGCUGAGAGGGAACUGAGAGUUUCGACCGUACCUGAUUUGGAUAAUGCCAACGUAGGGAAAAAUUAGAAAUAAUAU
rnacentral:ncRNA from 2 species